UACAGAGGGGGCAAGCGUUGUUCGGAAUUACUGGGCGUAAAGGGCGCGUAGGCGGCCUUGUAAGUCCUGUGUGAAAUCCCUCGGCUCAACUGAGGAACUGCACAGGAAACUGCUUGGCUUGAGUUCGGGAGAGGGAAGCGGAAUUCCGGGUGUAGCGGUGAAAUGCGUAGAUAUCCGGAGGAACACCGGUGGCGAGGGCGGCUUCCUGGACCGACACUGACGCUGAGGCGCGAAAGCUAGGGGAGCAAACGGG
rnacentral:rRNA from 1 species